UUAACUAUUAUAUAGUACUCAGACGACACUAAUAUUCAGGGUUUUGGGUCCUCUGGCGGGCGCUUACCAGCCGGAGCCGGUAGCCGGGCGUAAGCCUGACGGCCCGCCAAAGCAACAAAGUGAUGAUAACAUAGGGUGGGAGAUCUACCCGUAAGGGCAUGAACUCUGUAAUGAUCCCUCCGCAGGUUCACCUACGGAGA
rnacentral:misc_RNA from 1 species